AUACGUAGGGGGCGAGCGUUGUCCGGAAUGAUUGGGCGUAAAGGGCGCGUAGGCGGCCCGGUAAGUCUGGAGUGAAAGUCCUGUUUUUAAGAUGGGAAUUGCUUUGGAUACUGUCGGGCUUGAGUGCAGGAGAGGUAAGUGGAAUUCCCAGUGUAGCGGUGAAAUGCGUAGAGAUUGGGAGGAACACCAGUGGCGAAGGCGACUUACUGGACUGUAACCGACGCUGAGGCGCGAAAGUGUGGGGAGCAAACAGGAUUAGAUACCCUGGUAGUCCACACUGCAAACGAUGAAUGCUAGGUGUAGGGGGUAUCGACCCCUUCUGUGCCGCAGUCAACACAAUAAGCAUUCCGCCUGGGGAGUACGGCCGCAAGGUUGAAACUCAAAUGAAUUGACGGGG
rnacentral:rRNA from 1 species